AACACGUUCAGUUACGUAGCCCCAUUCAGUAUAGAAGUGUCUUGCGCAUGAGUUGCCUUUGGUAUUAUGGAGCGUAUAAUCGGUACUCUAGUGGCGCUCCUUUCAACAGUAGUUAUACAAAGUCUACCUAUCAAUAACGGAUUCAGUGUGAAAUUCAACCCACUUGCUGUGAAGGAAGAAUUAAAACUGAAAACAUUUGGUGCUCUUUUUGCUAAGAUUCCACAAGAAAUAACGUCAGCCGAAUCAAAAGUCAGACGCGAAGUGGUUUCGAAGGCGUACUAUCCGAACCCACCAGACUUAGGAACUGGUUGCUCGAAUCAAGUGGCAAAAGUUAUAUUUCCUGCGAAGAAUACAAAUAACGAUGAGGACAUAAUUCAGCCUGCUGAGGGUCUGAACUUUAUUAAUUUGCCAAUUGUGAAACAGCCGUAUGAUAACUAUAAAAUUUUGGUGGCAACUGCUCCACCAAACGUCAAAAUAAAUAACGAGGAAGAAAAUACCCCGCUAGUAAUUUAUGUAGUAUUUCCUGGAGAUGGAGCUGAUGAAUCAGAUUCAAUUAAUAUACCAAUGAUUUAUUUCGUCAAUCAACACAACGGGAAAAUGGAUUUCAAAAAACCAGGGAAAGCUGAACCGAUAUUGAUUAUAAACAGCAACCGAACGGUGACUGGAUUGAAAAGUAAGGAGAUAGAGAAAUUUGUGAAAUUUAAAAAUAAAUUAACGAAGCGGUAUAAUUAUCAAAUUUCAAGAUAAAAUCUAUACGGAUCAAAAUAAUAUUAUUCUAUUUAUGAUAGGAAUUAAAGCUUGUGACACCUUUAUUAUCUAUUUGUAAAAGUAAGUGUUUUUCUAUGAAAUUAUGGCUGAAAUAAUUUAAUACACAGAGCACUUUUUGGCAAUUUAAUAGUCUUUGUAUCUUUUUAAACAGUUAGUUCAAGAUACACGCACUAAGGUAGAUAAACA